rnacentral:tRNA from 1 species
UGGGGUUGUAGCUCAGAGGCAGAGUGCUUGCCUAGCAUGUGUGAGGCACUGGGUUUGAUUCUCAGCACCACAA